rnacentral:lncRNA from 1 species
UAGAUGAAACUCUUUCCUUCUCUCUCUUCUUAAAAGUUUUGCCACAUCAUCCAAAUUACUUAUGUGGCACCAUAUUAAAUGAGAAUUAAACCCUUAUAAAACCCCACUGGGAUUAGUCUUACAGCACUGGAUGGCAGUAUCAUCAAAGCCAUGGUAACGCGGCCUGCCAACAGCAUCGAUAAGGUGCUGUUUCAACUCUAUUUAGUCCAAAUUACCCCCUCAUUCUUGAGUUCUUUCAAAUGAAGGUAGGUAAGGCCUAGUCCCCGACCCCACCCCAC